CAAUAUAUAAUUGUUGAUACUCCUUUGCAUUGCUAAGAACUUGUGAUUGACCCAACUAAUCAACUGAAUUUGAUUGAAAGGUUAUUUGAGCAUGGAUCUCAGUAGUCUUCCAUGUGUCAAAUGAAUCAUAAAUAAGACAAAGAGGAUGACAAUAAGAGCACCUGGGACAACUAAACAACAAGCAACGUUGAAAAGGGAAGAAAAUCGAGCUAGAAAUCAAAAUAUUUUCCUUUUCCUUCAUAAAAACACACAAUUCUCAUCCUCCUCAAACAACUAUUAGACAACAGAGAGAAAAUCAAGAAAGAUUUCAAGCAGGAAUAAGCAGAUUAUGCAGAACUCAAGGAUAUAUUACAUGAAGUCAAGGGAGAUUAUUUUUCAUUCAG